GAGCGCAUUGAUGGGGAACUUCAUUAGCCUCCCACUCCACAGCAUCAUAUUCUCCAGUCCUGAUGCCGCCAUUGCUGUUGUUUUUAGCUUGUUAGUGUUUCACUGCUAGAUGACUGACGGGACUGUAGAACUGAAUUUGCCUCAAAGAUACUACUGGCAGCCAGACCUGACUUUCCCAGUCUGAGACGACACCUUUGGAACCCAGAAACACUUAAAGACAUUUGGAUAGGUCCUGUUGAUCCAUCUGAGCCAACCUUCAUCCCACGGUCAUUUCAGACUCAGGAUGAGAGCGGAUGGUUGGCAAUUACGUUUUAUAAUCAAUAUUUGACUCUCCUGAUAACCUGUGUGCUUCAGUUUACAUUUCUUGCUUUGUUUUCUGUAACAUAGCAGCUAGUUUAAUGGAUAGAUGGUAUUGCUGACAUUUAGUCGAGAAGGCACUAAUCAGAGACACUAUUUUACUCUCCUUGUUCUUGUGACCACUAAUAUCAAUGGAUAAAAUAUAAAGUACAAGACUUUAGUAAGAAUUUUGUUUAGCUUCUCUUAUCAGGCCACUCACUAUUAAUAUCUCCAUGUUACAAAUGAGGUGACUCUUGUUUAAUGAAGCCAGACAAUUUCCCCCAGAAAGUACUGCCAAUAAACAGCGGAAUGGGCUUUCAAACCCAGUCCUGAUGCUUAAUUAUGAUUAUAUUACUAAUGAAAGAUUCAGAGUAGAAAGCAUCAUCAUGAUCAUUUUAAUUCAUCACAUAGUUAUUAAAUGGCAAUUUAUUUGGAAUUGCUAGAGACAUGAAGUUUAACCUGCAGAAUUGUAGUUAUUCCUGGGAUUCUGUUUUAACACACAAUUAGCUAUAUGCCAAGUAAGGCAAGAAUAGUGCUGGUACCUAAUAAAAAAUGGAAAAAAAAAAAAAAAAGAAUAGUGCUGGGAUAAAGUUUUUAUAAAUGCACGUAGGUGGAGCCGAUUUUACAUGGUGGAACCUGGACAAAGACUCCAGAUAAAGAUGCUAACUUGGGUAUAAGACCAAUGAAAUGUAGUAAAGGAUGCAUUUUCAAAUUUUUGAGGUCCGUUUGAAUACAGUGAGUUCUAUGAGAGAAGGCAGACAGUCGGUGUGAGCAGACAGAAGCUGGUGUAGUAGAGGCCAUAGGAUCUUGUUCAAUUCCAGCCGGGCUUGUAACUAGCUCCAUGGUCUUGGCUGAAUCUCUCUAUUGUUCACUAAAAUGCAGGAGCUAAUUAUAGUACUGCCUGUAGGCCAUUGUGAGGAUUUAUAGUAAUACAUGUUAGAAUGCUUAGCAAGGGCCUGGUCUACAGUAGAUAGUGGGAGGCAUGUUUUGUGUUUAUUUUUGUUUCCUUUCCAGGGAUAUUAUAGAAAUAGCUUGAAGGAUUUCAACAAUGAACUGAUGGUAGAUUGCUUCCCCAAAGGAAAGACAUUGAAAGCCUUUGGAUAGAGGGUGAUAUACCCAGUUUGAUUUUAAAAUAAAAAUUUAAAGUUAGAAUAGAAGCAGGGGAAUGGAUAGGGAAUUCCAGAUGGGAGGUAGAGAGGGGAAACUGAGAAAGUUUCAUAACAUUUGAAAUGCAAAUAAAGAAAAUAUCU
rnacentral:lncRNA from 1 species